rnacentral:lncRNA from 1 species
GGACGCUUACCGUAGAAGCUCGGAUGGAGAUUGGUUACAAUAGAAGUUCAGAGUAGAAAUUUGCUUGCUAUGGAAGCUCGGAUGAAGUCUGCUUGCAAUAGAAGUUUGGAGUAGACUGUUCACUGUAGAAGCUCGGAUGAAAUUCGAAAAGCGGUCGAUCGCUAUAGAAAUUUGGAUGGAGUCUGGUUACUGUAGAAGUCCUACUGCUGGAGAAGCUCGGACAUUGAAGAAGUCUGGAAAAAGCUCAGAGUGAAGUCGAUCGUGACAGGGGGAAGUCUGGAAGAGAUUCAGAGAGUAGUCGAUCACUUUAGAAAAUCGACUGAUAAUAAAGCCCAAAGAGUAUUUGGAGCAGUCCAGUAGAUGACUGAAGGAGCUCAUUAUUGAAGAAGUCCGGAUGGUAUGAUAGGAGUUCAUCCGUUGGAGGAAUCUGGAGGACAUUGUGGAAAGUCGACUGCUGGAGGAGUCUGAAUGGUACUAUGGAAGCUCGGACAGUCGGGAGAGUUCAGAAAGACACCGUACGAGGUCGGAAGCCGGAAGAGUCCUGGGAGGGUUGGCCUUUUAUGAACUUUGGCUGGGGUUAUU